AAAUCUUUCAAGCAUACCUUGUGAUUCAGGAUGGAAGGCACUUGAAAGCUGGUGCUUAACAGCUAGUUCACGAAGCACCUGAGUAAAAAGCUUAGAGCUUUUAUACUGCGCAACGGGAUGGCUUCCGGAAAACGAGUGGUAGCACACAUAAGAGGAUUGGAUGUAAAGGGGCAAGAGGAAUGACCUGAUUUGGUUUACCCGUCAGCUGACAAACAUGGCAUGACCGGCAGUGAGCACUAACAUCAGCUUUUAAACCAGGCCAAAAAAACGAUCUUAAAAUACGAUCAUAGGUCUUUCUAAUCCCUAAAUGGCCAGAUAGAACAUGGUCAUGAGCAAGUUUUAAUAUUUGUGAACGAUAAUUCAACGGAACAACAAUUUGUUGAACACUAUCAACAUUUUUCCACUGUCUCAUCAACACAUCGUUAUCAAGAUAAAACAUCACAUUUUCAUUAGGAACCACUAGCUUAUCAGAAAUAGCUUUAAAACAUUUAACCAAUGUUGAAUCAGCCUUCUGCGCCGCCGC